rnacentral:lncRNA from 1 species
UUUGGACUUGGAGGUGUGGAUAGUUCUUCUUAAGAACUGGAUUUAGAAUCAAGAACUAGGCUUCCAAAGCUGGCCAAUGAGUAGAAGAAUCAAGGUGGACUGACAGACAGCAACAUCUGUUAGAGUAAUUGGAAGUAAUUACCAUGUAACUUCUGACUCAUCAGGGACCCAGCCCACCAGCACCAAGACUUUUAAAAAGAAUGUCAGACCGUUUUGCUGUUUAACAUGAAAUUGGAGAGAGAAAUUGGUGUCAUGGUCUACGUCCUUCUACUACAAAUUAGCAGGAAACCCGGGAUUGCUUUGGCCGUCUCCUGCCUGCACACACCUCAUUCCACCAUCAGUUCCAUUCUACUGCUACUCCACCCUGAUGGUUUGGAGGACUUGCCCGUGAGCCUCGCUGAGUCCCUGGGCUUCAUCCUGGAAAGUUGUCUCUGGUGCAGCUGCCCGGCCAAGGACUGUAGUUCCCAGCUUCCUUUGCAUCUAGAUGGAACCACGUGACUG